GCCAAACAGCUAGCUUAACAAACCAAAACAAAAUCAUCAACAUUAGCAUGUCUUAAAAACCCCAACCCAAACAAUUAAAUCAUUCUCCUGCCCUAGUAUAGGCGAUAGGAAAAGGCAAUACAAAGCAAUAGAAAAAGUACCGCAAGGGAAAGCUGAAAGAGAAAUGAAACAACCCAUUUUAAGCCCAAAAAAGCAGAGAUUAAAGCUCGUACCUUUUGCAUCAUGAUUUAGCCAGUACACCUGAGCAAAGAGCACUUUAGUUCAAAACCCCGAAACCAAGCGAGCUACCUCGAGACAGCCCUGAACUGGGGCCAACCCGUCUCUGUGGCAAAAGAGUGGGAAGAUCUCCAGGUAGCGGUGACAGACCUACCGAGCUUGGUGAUAGCUGGUUGCCUAGGAAAUGGAUAGAAGUUCAGCCUCAUACUCCCUAACUCAACCAAUGUAACUUACCACAACGAACCUAGGAAAUAUAUGAGAGUUAGUCAAAGGGGGUACAGCCCCUUUGAACAAGGACACAACCUUUCAAGGAGGUUAAAGAUUAUAUUAAACAAGAUUACUGCUCCAGUGGGCCUAAAAGCAGCCACCUGAACAGAAAGCGUUAAAGCUCAGGCAGACCCCAAUCUAUUAUUCUAAUAACCCAUCCAAAACCCCUAAACCUACUAGGCCCUUCCAUGCCAACAUGGAAAUGACCCUGCUAAAAUGAGUAACAAGAAAGAAAACCCUUUCUCCCCGUCCACGUGUAAGUUAGAUCGGACCCCCCACUAACAAUUAACGAACCCAACCAAAGAGGGCACUGUCGUUUACAAUAAAAACAAGAAAAAUCAACACACCCCAAUCGUUAACCCUACACCGGAGGACCAAAUAGGAAAGACUCAAAGAAGAGGAAGGAACUCGGCAAACACAAGCCUCGCCUGUUUACCAAAAACAUCGCCUCCCGCAAAUAUUUCAACGUAUGGGAGGUCUUGCCUGCCCAGUGAAUUAAUUUAAACGGCCGCGGUAUCUUGACCGUGCAAAGGUAGCGCAAUCACUUGUCUUUUAAAUGAAGACCUGUAUGAAUGGCGGAACGAGGGCUUAACUGUCUCCCCCCUCAGGUCAGUGAAAUUGAUCUGUCCGUGCAGAAGCGGACAUAUAUAUACAAGACGAGAAGACCCUUUGGAGCUUAAGACACCAAGGCCAACUAUGUUAAAAACCUAUCCGAACUAGAUUAAACUAAAUAAUAACUGGCCUCCGUCUUCGGUUGGGGCGACCACGGGGGAAAACAAAGCCCCCAUGAGGACUGGGAAAAACCCUAAAACCAAGAGAGACAUCUCUAAGCCACAGAACAUCUGACCACACAGAUCCGGCCUCACGGCCGAUCAACGAACCAAGUUACCCUAGGGAUAACAGCGCAAUCCCCUCCCAGAGUCCUUAUCGACGAGGGGGUUUACGACCUCGAUGUUGGAUCAGGACAUCCUAAUGGUGCAGCCGCUAUUAAGGGUUCGUUUGUUCAACGAUUAAAGUCCUACGUGAUCUGAGUUCAGACCGGAGCAAUCCAGGUCAGUUUCUAUCUGUACUGUCAUUUUUUCUAGUACGAAAGGACCGAAAAAAUAGGGUCCAUAUUUAAAACACACCCUACCCUUACUUAAUGAAAUCAACUAAAUUAAAUAAAAGGAGAACACAAACCGACUCUAGACUAGAGUUU
rnacentral:rRNA from 1 species